AUUGAACGCUGGCGGCAGGCCUAACACAUGCAAGUCGAGCGGAUGAAGGGAGCUUGCUCCUGGAUUCAGCGGCGGACGGGUGAGUAAUGCCUAGGAAUCUGCCUGGUAGUGGGGGAUAACGUCCGGAAACGGGCGCUAAUACCGCAUACGUCCUGAGGGAGAAAGUGGGGGAUCUUCGGACCUCACGCUAUCAGAUGAGCCUAGGUCGGAUUAGCUAGUUGGUGGGGUAAAGGCCUACCAAGGCGACGAUCCGUAACUGGUCUGAGAGGAUGAUCAGUCACACUGGAACUGAGACACGGUCCAGACUCCUACGGGAGGCAGCAGUGGGGAAUAUUGGACAAAGGGCGAAGGCCUGAUCCAGCCAUGCCGCGUGUGUGAAGAAGGUCUUCGGAUUGUAAAGCACUUUAAGUUGGGAGGAAGGGCAGUAUGUUAAUACCUUGCUGUUUUGACGUUACCAACAGAAUAAGCACCGGCUAACUUCGUG
rnacentral:rRNA from 1 species